rnacentral:tRNA from 1 species
GGCUGUGGCUCAGCGGUAGAGCGAGCGCUUGCCCCGCACGCGUAAGGCACUGGGUUCGAUCCUCGGCACCA